UACAGAGGGGGCAAGCGUUGUUCGGAAUUACUGGGCGUAAAGGGCGCGUAGGUGGCCUUCUAAGUUGAACGUGAAAUCCCUGGGCUCAACCCAGGAACUGCGUCCAAGACUGGGAGGCUUGAAUCCGGGAGAGGGAUGCGGAAUUCCAGGUGUAGCGGUGAAAUGCGUAGAUAUCGGAAGGAACACCAGUGGCGAAAGCGGCUUCCUGGUCCAGCACCGACGUUCAGGCACGAAAGCGUGGGGAGCAAACAGG
rnacentral:rRNA from 1 species